rnacentral:rRNA from 1 species
UAAGGAAUAUUGGACAAUGGACGCAAGUCUGAUCCAGCCAUGCCGCGUGAAGGAUGAAUGCCCUCUGGGUUGUAAACUUCUUUUAUAGGGGGAGAAAGAUACUUUUUUUAAGGUAGUUGACGGUACCCUAUGAAUAAGCACCGGCUAACUCCGUGCCAGCAGCCGCGGUAAUACGGAGGGUGCAAGCGUUAUCCGGAUUUACUGGGUUUAAAGGGUGCGUAGGCGGGCAUGUAAGUCAGUGGUGAAAUACCGGAGCUUAACUUCGGAACUGCCAUUGAUACUAUAUGUCUUGAAUAUUGUGGAGGUAAGCGGAAUAUGUCAUGUAGCGGUGAAAUGCAUAGAUAUGACAUAGAACAUCGAUUGCGGAGGCAGCUUGCUACGCAAAUAUUGACGCUGAGGCACGAAAGCGUGGGGAUCAAACA